UCAUUUCCAGAUAAAUAAAUAAUAAAUAAAUAAAAACACGUCUUUAACCGGCGGGCUAGCCUGCUAGCCAGCUAGCUACCCCGGCUUCAGCCGCAGCUUCCCGGGCGUCUUACCUGUAGAGUUGUGAUGUGUUUGUCGUUGAAUUUGUUUUCGCAGUAUCGCAGCACCAGCGACGUCUUCCCCACGCAGCCUUCCCCCAGCAACACCACCUUGAAGGAGUAGGUCCUGCCGCCCGCCCCGCCCGCCGCCAUAGCUGGCAGUUUGUUACAGAAAGUCCUUUCGGCUUUAUCAAAACAGGCGUUAUCAAGCUAGCGAUGCUAAUGCUAACCCCCCGUCCUAACUGAAGUCCUGCGUAGCUCACAUCAGCUUCCGACUUUGGAAAAACGGCUAAAAUCAGGAGAAGUACACCUCGACAGCAUACGCGAAGCUUACUUUUACCACUAUCUACCAACAGGUGUGAGAUAAGCGGGUCUAAACAGUGAGCUACUUCCCUUUUCAACCUGAUGCGAAUGCCUGCUUUUCUCCCAACUAAUGGCGUCUCUUUGAGCUAGCAGUUAGCCCGCUAGCUCCGCCGAAGAUCGUCUACACUCGGGAGGAUGGAUCACUUCGGUUUCUUAAGACCAGUUCCUAAUGAUGUGACUUCAUCGGGCUUUCUUUGAAGCUGAAACAACGCUGGAGUCUUCGGUCCGGACUGCAGAUCCAACACUGGUGCUCUGAACUCGCAGCAGAGUGGGAGCUCGGCGCUGCUUCCGCCUCUCUGCAGCGUCACAUGAUGAAAGAGUCGGCUCGCUGUCACAACCUCAGAGCUGCUGGGGGUUUCUGAUGUUGGCACAUCAAACAACAAACGGCCCAGAAAAUCAUUUUAGUACUAUUACACACAUGUAGGUCAUUUUUUAAGUUCUGACGUUUUUCACGUUUUUUGUUUGUUUCCAUUUUUCCAUAUUCGUGCUAUUAUUAACAAUUUAAAGGAUGCAAAAUACAGGAAAAUAAAUUGUAAAUCUCGUUUUUGGA